rnacentral:rRNA from 1 species
AUUGAACGCUGGCGGCAGGCUUAACACAUGCAAGUCGAACGAGUGGCGGACGGGUGAGUAAUGCUUGGGAAUCUGGCUUAUGGAGGGGGAUAACGACGGGAAACUGUCGCUAAUUCCGCGUACCAUAGUAUGAGCCCAAGUGGGAUUAGGUAGUUGGUGGGGUAAUGGACUACCAAGCCGACGAUCACUAGCUGGUCUGAGAGGAUGACCAGGAAAACCGGGACAAAGCUACGGGCCAGACCCCUACGGGAGGCAGAAGUGGGGAAUAUUGCACAAUGGGCGAAAGCUGAUGAAGCAAUGCCGCGUGAAUGAAGAAGGCCUUCGGGUUGUAAAGUUCUUUCGGUGACGAGGCGUUAAUAACAGAAGAAGCACCGGCUAACUCCGUGCCAGCCGCCGCGGUAAGUC